rnacentral:rRNA from 1 species
GUAGUCAUAUGCUUGUCUCAAAGAUUAAGCCAUGCAUGUCUAAGUAUAAGCAAUUUGUACGGUGAAGCUGCGAAUGGCUCAUUAAAUCAGUUAUCGUUUAUUUGAUAGUACCUUACUACUUGGAUACCCGUGGUAAUUCUAGAGCUAAUACAUGCUUAAAACCUCGACUUCGGAAGGGGUGUAUUUAUUAGAUAAAAAACCAAUGCCCUUCGGGGCUCCUUGGUGAUUCAUAAUAACUUAUCGAAUCGCAUGGCCUUGCGCCGGCGAUGGUUCAUUCAAAUUUCUGCCCUAUCAACUUUCGAUGGUAGGAUAGUGGCCUACCAUGGUGGCAACGGGUAACGGGGAAU